rnacentral:piRNA from 1 species
UGUUCCAUUUGGGCAUGAGCCGUGAAGGUU